AGUAGCAAUACUUAGUGGCAGACGGGUGAGUAACAUGUAGGUAUCUGCCCUUUGGCCUGGAAUAACACGAGGAAACUUGUGCUAAUACCGGAUAAGUCUUUACGGAGAAAGCUUUAUGCACCAUUGGAUGAGCCUGCACUUGAUUAGUUUGUUGGUGGGGUAAUGGCCUACCAAGACUGUGAUCAAUAGCUGAUUUGAGAGGAUGAUCAGCCACAUUGGGACUGAGACACGGCCCAAACUCCUACGGGAGGCAGCAGUGGGGAAUCUUGCACAAUGGAGGAAACUCUGAUGCAGCGAUGCCGCGUGAGUGAAGAAGGCCUUUGGGUUGUAAAGCUCUUUCGUCGGGGAAGAAAAUGACUGUACCCGAAUAAGAAGGUCCGGCUAACUUCGUGCCAGCAGCCGCGGUAAUACGAAGGGACCUAGCGUAGUUCGGAAUUACUGGGCUUAAAGAGUUCGUAGGUGGUUGAAAAAGUUGGUGGUGAAAUCCCAGAGCUUAACUCUGGAACUGCCAUCAAAACUUUUCAGCUAGAGUAUGAUAGAGGAAAGCAGAAUUUCUAGUGUAGAGGUGAAAUUCGUAGAUAUUAGAAAGAAUACCAAUUGCGAAGGCAGCUUUCUGGAUCAUUACUGACACUGAGGAACGAAAGCAUGGGUAGCGAAGAGGAUUAGAUACCCUCGUAGUCCAUGCCGUAAACGAUGUGUGUUAGACGUUGGAAAUUUAUUUUCAGUGUCGCAGCGAAAGCGAUAAACACACCGCCUGGGGAGUACGA
rnacentral:rRNA from 1 species